rnacentral:misc_RNA from 1 species
AAUUGGGACUCUUUUGAUUUACUGUUCUACAACACUUAAAUAUGCAAACCAUUUCCUAAAGACUAGACAAGAACGUUCACCUCCUAGUAUAUAGCACGAUGCUCUUUAUGUGUUCAGAUACGAAAAGAUAUUCACAUUUCAAUCAUCUGAAAAACAUGCCCUCUCACUCAGUUGAGAACUCAUGAAACGAACUAAUUACGAGUCAAAUAGUAUCUAACCCAACCUAAUUCCCUUUAGUACAGACUUUACUGUACGACAAUUGGCAUAGGAGCUUCAACUAUUAUUCCCCUGAGAUCCUGCCGGACCUCCUGUUCCAUGUGAGAAAUUCUGGCCUUCGAUUGACACUGGUUGUGCAGGAUGUUGCUGAUUGGGUUCCCAUGCUCCUCUUUGUAUUGGUUCUCUUCUUUCAACCUGCAUGGUCUCUCUGCGUCUGUCAUAACGAGGUCGGGGCCUGGGUCUAGUACUUUGGUUUUGAUUAAAUCUAUAUUGUGGCCUAUGGAUGACUUUUCCAUCUAUGAACUGAUCCCCUCCAUAAUCUUUGUUUGGGACAUCUAGAUAUGAAUCAGGCAAGACCCACAAAACACCAGGUAGAUCUUUAACUUUGUAGGAAAGCUCUUCAGAAAUCAAAACACCAAACCCAGUGUAUGUGGUCGUACAAACAGAGUAAAUCUUCUUUUUGGCUUCUUCCUCACUUCCGACAACGGCAGCAAUGGUUUUAACAUAUGCAUUGAUCAUAUCUUCCUCAGAGGGCUUAGGGUCAGGAAACUCCAUAACAAUUAGCCAAUGUUCAUAGUCACAUCCAUCCAAAAGUAUGGUCUCCUUGGGGGGGCGGUUACUCCAGUUGGGAGAAGGAUCAUUGAGGGGCGAGUAACCCGACCCGGAUGACUUGGGACGGGUCGAAACAAAUUGCUCUGAUGGGUAAUACUGGGGAUUGAAGAAAAGGGGAAGAGAAAAUCGAAAUCGAGAUGAUGAUGGUGAUGAUGAAGACGAAGACGAAGAGAGUACACGGUAAAUGGUGGAAGCUAAAGUGCGCCUGGUGGCAAACAGCGCCAUUAGAGAAGCUGUGGAAAUGAGAGGAAACUUUCUAAUUGGAGAAGUGAAGCUUUGAG